rnacentral:lncRNA from 1 species
ACUUUCUUCAGUUUGGAGACAGGUUGUCUCUUUGAACCUGAAGCCCACAGAUUUGACUGGACUGCCUGUCUGUUGUGUCCGGCCAGCAGAUCACAACAUGGGUUCUAGCCUGGAAAGGCAUUUUGGAAACCUGGAAGAGAAGAGGGGCUAGGCGGCGAGAUAAAGAAAUGUAGCUAAGACAGUCAUUCUGAUCAAAGCUCAAUUUUACUGUUCCGCACGCAGUUAUAAAGCAGGGGAAGGGGCCCGAUUCCCGCCAAAUAAUCUUGGGGUCCAAUAGCAGGGUAACCACGUGCACGGCUCCGAACAGCAAAGCGGCAGGUUCCAGCAGUGGGCGUGGCAGAACGAUUGAUCAGGAAGCUCCACCCCUGAGCAAGCAGGUUUCAGGCUGGGGGAGGGGAGACUACACCUGUCUAGUAAGGUUGGGGCAUCUGCUGCCAUCUCCACAACCACCAGGACACCCGCCUGCCCCCCAGAACUGGGAUUGCAGAUGCAUGCUGCCAAGCCGGAGACCCAAACUCAGGUCUCCCUGCUUACAAAGCAAGUGCUUCCCACGAGACCCUUUCCUCGGCCUAGCAUGGUUAUUUUCUCUGUGUAGAGUGGCUUUAGAGGUGAAAGAACAUUGAAAUGAACUAUGUACAAUGAAUGAAAAAAGCUAUCUUAAGAAAUCACAAAGUAGUUGUUCAAUCCUCACCGGACUGGAAAGUGUUAACAAUAAGGACUCCGUGGCACCCCACAAAGAGAUCCAAGUUUGUCAUCCAUGGAAGGUCGGUCACACGGGAGGAUCUGCUCAGAGUGGACAGCACAGGAGUGCUGUCAGAAUUGGGUGCCGGUCGGUCGUACGUGGUGCUAAUGGUGCGGGUUUGCUGUGCGGCUGGCUUUGAGGCCCCUGACAGUGUUUUGUAGAGUGCUGGUCCGGCAUGGCACCCUUCUUUCAAGCACAGCCUGAGACUCUGAGCUGCUAAGUGACCCAUUUUCCUUAGCCUAGGCCUGUUGCACUGCCCUGAGGUCCUGGAACCUCCAGGAAUAACCUGUCUCGGUCCCACAUUUCCUCUGAUUAUGCAAUGGUAGGCAACCAGAUAGAGACCGUUUUUUUUUUCUUCGAAGCCAUCUUACUGUGACUUCUGCUUUUCUCUCCCCUUCCCUGAAUUUUGGGUUGUGUUAGUACCUGAGAACUCCUGUCCUUGUGCUGAAUUCUGGUUCCUUUUUAAUUUUUCAUUCUAACAAGGUCACGGAGAAGUAUGACUAACGAAGGCCUGCUCCCGGUGCUAGCUAGCACUAAUUUUAGUUGGUCCACUGCUCUUGCUGUCUAACUUUAAAUAUUUGAUUAGGUGCUAACAAGUGUGAAGACUGGUGGAUUUUGAGUCCAGCCUCUGUCCUCUAGGUUUGCUGGCUCAGAUCCAGCCGACUAGGCCUCCCAGCCUUGCCAUUUGAGGGGUGAACAGAUGGAAGAAUGGGCAUUGGCUUCGGAGACAGAUGGCCUGAGCGGAGAAUUAACCACCUUCUGCCUGAUGCAUGAUACAAGCACAUUCUCCCCCAAACUAUCCCUAUAAUUAACCUUAAGGUUCUUUUCCCUUUUAUGGCUUCCACUAGUAUGUGUACAGUCAUGGUAGGUGUGGACCUGUUUCUGAGGCUGUCAGAGUGCUGGAGAAUUAGGCCAGGAUCAAGAUAUCAGAGGCUUGGCUUCUCCUGGGGUCUCGUUCCACGCCUAACAAAUGGCCACCUGCCCUCUGUGUCCUGCUGUGAAUGUCUCUGGUGUUUGUCCCUCUUAUUAGGUACCAGUCAUGUUGGAUUAGGGCUUCCCUCUUAUGACUUCCAUCUACCCCUAAUUAUCUCUUUAUUAAAGGACUGAAUUCAUAUAUGGUCACAUUGGGAGUUUGGGCCUUGAUAUAAAAAACCUAGAGGGACACACUUCCACUCACAAUAAUCUAGGUUUAUAGAAAUUAAAAGGAGAGAAAGUUUUUUUCCUUCCCCAUUUAUUGACUUACUCUGGGAGUGCGUGUGCACACACACGUGCUCUCAUGUCAUGACACAUGUGGCAGUCAGAGAACAACUUAUGGGAAUUGGUCUUUCAUCCACGAUGUGGGUUGUCAGGCUUGGUGACAAAUGCCCUCACCUAGUGAACCAUCUUACUGGCCCCAGAAAGAAAUUGGGUUUCUGUUUUUGUUUUGAUUUCGAAUUUACCUACUCACUUGAUAUAUUUGGAUCCUGUCAUUCUUACUGUUGACCCAAGUGUACAUCUGGUAUGUUUCUGUUCUUCAGAUUUGAAUAUUUUGCUUUUAAUUUCUAUGCAUGCGUGUGUGUGUGUGUGUGUGUGUGUGUGUGUGUGUGUGUGUGUAGACGCCAGAGGUUGGUGUCAGAUGUUCUGGUCUUGCUUUCUAACUUGCUUACAUAACUAGGGUUCUCAGUGAGCCUGGAGCAUGGUGAUUCAGACCUGUCUCGGCCUGCCCAGUGCUGAGGGUACCUCUGGUUCUUUCUUUUUCUGUGUAAGUUCUGGGGAUGUGAAUAAACUCAAGUCUUCAUGCUUGCCUGGCAAGCUCUUUACCAACUGAGCCAUCUGUUCGGGCCCAUGAAGAAUUUUCUUCAAUAUUUCCUGUAGUUGAGAUCUGCUAGCCAUGGAUCAUGUCUGUGCGGCUGCCUGGUGCCUCUGUGUGUCAUUUCCUCUUUUUAUAAGGACACCAGGGAUAUUGGGAAAGGGUCAAUCCUAAUACAGCUUGCUUUAGCUGACCUAGUUCUGUAACAGUUCUUGUCUUUAGAUAUAGUCGUGCUCUGAGAUUCAACAGUUCAGCAUGUGAAUUCUGGAGGGAGGGAGGGAGGGAGGGAGAGAGAGAGAGAGAGAGAGAGGGAGAGAGAGAGAGAGAGAGAGAGAGAGAGAGAGAGAGAGAGAUGACAAAAUGCCCAACACUGGGUAAUUUAUAAAGAAAAUAACUUUAUUUCUCACAAUUCUGACGACUGAGGAGCCAAAUAUCAAAAUAUGAGAAGAAUCUCCUCAGAAGCCUCCUUGUUUAUUGGUCUGAGUUCACUGACUCCUUUAUGACAUUAUGAGGCAGAACUGUUCCAUUCAAGCCACUGCUCCAAAGACCUGGUGUCUCAGUGCUGUCUCCUUUGGGUUUAUGUUCGGUGAUGGCAGGAGGACACAAUUCAGUCAGUUCAUAUCGAUCAGGGAACUUUAAGUAUACAGGUAAGGGGACAGCCCCCGGCAUGGUGAUUUUCACAGUAAGAGUAUUAAGUUAUUUUUAUGAAGGUAAUCUGUGGUUGGGUAGAUCAGGGUUAUUGUUAGUGGCUCAAACAGUGCUGGUUGUCUGACUUCUUUCUCUUCCCACCAUAGCAUGUGUGCUACCUUUCAUUUGCUUAUUUGCAAAUGGGUAGUUAGGCGAAUGAAAGGGAGCAUGGGCAGGCAGUGGUAUCUUUGGCAGUGCCUCAUCUGGAGGCAGAAAGUGGGGAAGUGUGCACUCGGGCACAGGGCACGAUAGAGGUAGCAAUGACCAAUGUUCUCCUGGAGAGUCCUUCUCUUCUUUGGAAGGUAAGUAAUUCCCAAAGUUUCCAUGCCUUCCUGGCUAGAACCAGUCACAACUUCAAAGGAAACUGUGAAGAUGGAGUCACACUCUACUCUCCAAUGGGUCACUAGGAUGAAGCAGGAGGGCCAGAUACUUAGGCAGACAAAUAGCGUCUGGAUUGGUCCCCAACCUGCCCACCUGCCCAGAAGGCUGCUGAAUUAAGACUGGUCUUGACCGUAAUUUUUAUUGGAAUUAAAACUCUACUGAUGAUGGUUACUGGGAGGGUAUU